AGAGUUUGAUCCUGGCUCAGGAUGAACGCUGGCGGCGUGCUUAACACAUGCAAGUCGAACGGAGUUAUCAAUGAAACCUAGUGAUUUGAUAACUUAGUGGCGGACGGGUGAGUAACGCGUGGGUAACCUGCCUUAUCCGGGGGGAUAACAGUUAGAAAUGACUGCUAAUACCGCAUAAGCGCACAGAAUCGCAUGAUUCCGUGUGAAAAGAUUUAUCGGGACAAGAUGGACCCGCGUCUGAUUAGCUAGUUGGCGAGGUAACGGCCCACCAAGGCGACGAUCAGUAGCCGGCCUGAGAGGGUGAACGGCCACAUUGGGACUGAGACACGGCCCAAACUCCUACGGGAGGCAGCAGUGGGGAAUAUUGCACAAUGGGGGAAACCCUGAUGCAGCGACGCCGCGUGAGUGAAGAAGUAUUUCGGUAUGUAAAGCUCUAUCAGCAGGGAAGAAAAUGACGGUACCUGACUAAGAAGCCCCGGCUAACUACGUGCCAGCAGCCGCGGUAAUACGUAGGGGGCAAGCGUUAUCCGGAUUUACUGGGUGUAAAGGGAGCGUAGACGGAAUGGCAAGUCUGAUGUGAAAGCUGGGGGCUCAACCCCCAAACUGCAUUGGAAACUGUUAAUCUGGAGUGUCGGAGAGGUAAGUGGAAUUCCUAGUGUAGCGGUGAAAUGCGUAGAUAUUAGGAGGAACACCGGUGGCGAAGGCGGCUUACUGGACGAUGACUGACGUUGAGGCUCGAAAGCGUGGGGAGCAAACAGGAUUAGAUACCCUGGUAGUCCACGCUGUAAACGAUGAUUACUAGGUGUUGGGAGUCUAUAGACUUUCGGUGCCGUCGCAAACGCAAUAAGUAAUCCACCUGGGGAGUACGUU
rnacentral:rRNA from 1 species